rnacentral:rRNA from 1 species
GCAGUCGAGCGGAUGAAAGGGAGCUUGCUCCUGGAUUCAGCGGCGGACGGGUGAGUAAUGCCUAGGAAUCUGCCUGGUAGUGGGGGACAACGUUUCGAAAGGAACGCUAAUACCGCAUACGUCCUACGGGAGAAAGCAGGGGACCUUCGGGCCUUGCGCUAUCAGAUGAGCCUAGGUCGGAUUAGCUAGUUGGUGAGGUAAUGGCUCACCAAGGCGACGAUCCGUAACUGGUCUGAGAGGAUGAUCAGUCACACUGGAACUGAGACACGGUCCAGACUCCUACGGGAGGCAGCAGUGGGGAAUAUUGGACAAUGGGCGAAAGCCUGAUCCAGCCAUGCCGCGUGUGUGAAGAAGGUCUUCGGAUUGUAAAGCACUUUAAGUUGGGAGGAAGGGCAGUAAAUUAAUACUUUGCUGUUUUGACGUUACCGACAGAAUAAGCACCGGCUAACUCUGUGCCAGCAGCCGCGGUAAUACAGAGGGUGCAAGCGUUAAUCGGAAUUACUGGGCGUAAAGCGCGCGUAGGUGGUUUGUUAAGUUGGAUGUGAAAUCCCCGGGCUCAACCUGGGAACUGCAUCCAAAACUGGCAAGCUAGAGUAUGGUAGAGGGUGGUGGAAUUUCCUGUGUAGCGGUGAAAUGCGUAGAUAUAGGAAGGAACACCAGUGGCGAAGGCGACCACCUGGACUGAUACUGACACUGAGGUGCGAAAGCGUG